rnacentral:lncRNA from 1 species
CUGAAAUAACAAAUAAAAAAAGAUUAACAACAAAUGAAGUUAAUGAUCAAAUCACAAAAGGUGUUGCUGUUAAUCCAAGACUUAUGGAGAGCAUAAUGUUAUCACGAGUAACUCUUCAAAAUAUAGCUACUGGUAAAGAGUUUUCCUACAGGCACGCUGUAUAUACAAAAGGUAACAGAAAAGAAAAAUCAGGUUUAAAAUGGCUUGGUGGGUAUGGUCCACUUAAUGAU